rnacentral:lncRNA from 1 species
CGUGGGUGUUCCUGGUGUUUUCUGUUUUGGAAACUGGAAAAAGGGGAGGUUGAAAACCUAAAACGGAUGACCCACCAAUUGGCCUGGGUCCACUGUGUUGCGGAAGAUGGAGGAGGGGAGCUGCAGAGAUUCGGGGUUUAUUUGUAUACCCUCAUCCUCCUGCGAUACCAAGCCAGCCAGAGGUGGCGUCCCUGACUGCUCUGCGGUCCUGGGCAGGGCAGGAAGCUGGCGCGGCCGCCGACUGGGCAGGCACCACUUGGCCUAGCCCGCUGUUCGCUGGAACUCGCGAAGCACCAUCACUCUGAGUUGAGUUCCCGAGACUCCGGCCUGGUCACCCUGAGCUGUUUUCCUCCCACAUCGUCAGUUGGCCUCUCUCGCAAGUCUCCUGAUCUCCCGCCAUCUGCUUUUCCCUUCCUUGACCGAUCUCUGGAACUUCGAAAUACAUUCAACCGC